UACAGAGGUCUCAAGCGUUGUUCGGAUUCAUUGGGCGUAAAGGGUGCGUAGGUGGCGCCAUAAGUCGGGUGUGAAAUCUCGGGGCUUAACUCCGAAACUGCAUUCGAUACUGUGGUGCUUGAGGACUGGAGAGGAGACUGGAAUUCAUGGUGUAGCAGUGAAAUGCGUAGAGAUCAUGAGGAAGACCAGUGGCGAAGGCGGCAUCCUGGACCAACACUGACGCUGAGGAGCGAAAGCCAGGGGAGCAAACGGG
rnacentral:rRNA from 1 species